rnacentral:SRP_RNA from 1 species
CCUGGGCGUGGUGGCGUGUGCCUGUAAUCCCAGCUACUUGGGAGGCUGAGGCAGGAGUAUUGCUUGAACCUGGGAGGUAGAGGUUGCAGUGAGCCGAGAUUGGGCCACUGCACUCCAGCCUGGGUAACAGAGCAAGACUCUGUCUCAG